rnacentral:rRNA from 1 species
CACGUAGGGUGCGAGCGUUGUCCGGAAUUAUUGGGCGUAAAGAGCUCGUAGGCGGUGUGUCGCGUCGGCCGUGAAAACCUGCAGCUUAACUGUGGGCUUGCGGUCGAUACGGGCAUCACUGGAGUUCGGCAGGGGAGACUGGAAUUCCUGGUGUAGCGGUGAAAUGCGUAGAUAUCUGGAGGAACACCGGUGGCGAAGGCGGCAUCCUGGACCGGUAUUGACGCUGAGGCGCGAAAGCUAGGGGAGCAAACGGG